rnacentral:rRNA from 1 species
UACGAAGGGGGGCUAGCGUUGCUCGGAAUCACUGGGCGUAAAGCGCACGUAGGCGGCUUUCUAAGUCAGGGGUGAAAUCCUGGAGCUCAACUCCAGAACUGCCUUUGAUACUGGAAAGCUUGAGUUCGGGAGAGGUGAGUGGAACUGCGAGUGUAGAGGUGAAAUUCGUAGAUAUUCGCAAGAACACCAGUGGCGAAGGCGGCUCACUGGCCCGGUACUGACGCUGAGGUGCGAAAGCGUGGGGAGCAAACAGG